CGGAUUGGUUCUCGCGUCCCUGAUUUGACCCCAAAAGGAUGGGCGAGUUCGGUUCGAGUCUUCAUCGAUCGGGUGGAUCUAUAUGCUGAGGGGGGUGAGACGAGGUGUAGCGCAGUCUGGUCAGCGCAUCUGUUUUGGGUACAGAGGGCCAUAGGUUCGAAUCCUGUCACCUUGAUG
rnacentral:tRNA from 1 species